rnacentral:tRNA from 1 species
UGACUAGGGAUCACGAGUCAUCUGACUACGGAUCAGAGGGUUGCGGGUUCGAAUCCUGCCGAGU